GGGAGGGUAACCUGGCUGUGAGAUCUGACGUUCCACUGAUGGCAUGGGUUGAUCUGGCUGAUCUGCCUAGCCUAGGCAGGUGUUCCCUUUCUUCCUUGACAUUCCAUGUGUGCUCCUCUUUGUGAUGUGUGCUUGGUAAAUCAGUAGAGCCUCCCCAAGAGACAUGGUAUUGUUCAUUGGUCAAAGGGGUGUGGUAGCUGUGGUCCCCUGCUGGAAGCCCUCAGUAAGCUCAAGGUCCAUUUGUAGAUAAAUGUAGGGUAAUUAAGCAUCCGAUACUGAAGACACAUUCAAAUGAGAAGCUGCACGCACCAGUCUGCCAGUGGCUUU
rnacentral:snRNA from 1 species